CCCCUAGAUGUUCUGGGCCGCACGCGCGCUACACUGAACAGUUCAACAAGUCUUAACCUUGGCCGAUAGGUCUGGGUAAUCUUUGAACGCUGUUCGUGAUUGGGAUAGACCUUUGCAAUUAUGGGUCUUCAACGAGGAAUUCCUAGUAUACGCAAGUCAUCAGCUUGCAUUGAUUACGUCCCUGCCCUUUGUACACACCGCCCGUCGCACCUACCGAUUGAAUGGUCCGGUGAAAUCUCGGGACGGCGGCUUGGUCGCUUGCGUCCGACUGCUGAAACUUGAUUAAACCAUAUCAUUUAGAGGAAGGUGAAGUCGUAACA
rnacentral:rRNA from 1 species